GGAAAAACUGCGCUGGAUGAGACUACUCCUCCACAACCUAACAAUCUUCUCUUUCCAGACCUCGUUGGUUAGAUUUGCUAACUGACGUGAGGCACUUGGGAAACUUCUUCACAGGACAAGAUCCUGUAAUGAAAAACAGAGAAACGACACCCUGACACCCCGUUGUUGGGAAAAGAGCAGAUGAAAGGAUUACUGACCCCAUGCACAGGAAACAAAUUCCUCAGCUUGUUGUCCAGAGGCUGGAAGCAGCUUCUUCUCCAGACAGAGCUGACUGCCCACAAUCAAUAAGAAGUUGUCUGCCUGAAACCUGAGGGGCCAAAGAUCAGGGUGCAGCCACGUUGGUGCUGGGGGUGGGAUGUGGCUGGGGAAUAUAGAGACAAGCCUAAAGAUAAAGUUUGUCAAGGAAAUGAAUUUAAUUCAGUCAGAUACUUAAGAGGACCCAUCCAAAGAUCCUGUCAUUUUGCGGGUGGGUGCAUGGAGGCCCAGUGAAGGGCAGGAACUUAUCCACAAUCACAAGGGACUCGCUGGCACAGAUAAGACUGGAACAAAGGGCUCUGGAAGCCUAUGUUGGGGGCUCUGGGCUUCAGGCCUGAGUGUCUCACCCUUCCUCCCCACCUCCAGGGCUCGGUAGGGGCCAAAUCCAGGAGCCUGGAGGUAACGCAAAAUCCCUUCAGGGUCACGUGCAGCGUGGUCUGGGGCGGGAGGGUCCUAGGGCCCUUGGUCGUGGCUGGGGCCGGACCGCGGGUCCCCUUUUCAGGCCUAGGGCGCUCCCACGUCUCGGCGUCCGUCUUCGGGGUCUGGGACCCACCUGCUUCGCAGCCGCAGGCCCCGCCGGCUGGCCUCGGGCGCAGGCGCGCAGAAGCCCGGCCGGCGCGGGCUGGCUCCGUCCUGCCCGCGCGGCCCAGCUAGACGCCUCCUGCCGCCGCCGCCGCUCCUCCUCCUCCCACCCAGCCCCCUCACCCUCCCGCUCCCUCCGUCACUCCGCGCGCCUCUCUGUGCCGCUGUGUCACCCGCCUCACUGCGCUCUUCCGCCCCCUUAGUCCCGUCCGUUACCCCGUACCCGCUCUGCCCUCCGUUCCCUCCUCGAACCCUUUGGUGCCCCGCCCCCUUCCGUGCAACCCAUUUGCUCCGCCCCCCGCGCGCUCUCCACUCCCCACCCCCGACCUCGCGCCCCUAGGUCUCCUAUGGUUCGGGCCACCCGUGGGAAGUACCCAAGCUGAUUUGGGAGUAGGGGGAUUUGGAAGCCGGGCUGGCUUGCUCAGUGCUGUGUGGACGUGGAGACAGAGUUUCACUUUAUCGACCUCAGUAGAGUGCCAUGGCAUCACACAGCUCACAGCAACCUCCAACUCCUGGGCCUAGGCGAUUCUCCUGCCUUAGCCUUAGUAGCUGGGACUACAGGCACCCGCCACAACGCCCAGCUAUUUUUUUGUUGCAGUUUGGCCGGGGCCGGGUUUGAACCCACCACCCUCGGUAUAUGGGGCCAGCGCCCUGCUCACUGAGCCACAGGCGCCGCCCAAGAGUUGUAAAUUUCUAUUGUAAGCUAUUGUUGUUUUGGCUUUUGUUAUAUCCACUGAACCUGAAUUCUGACUAAUGCAGUGACUAAAGAAUGACUUUGGAUGAGGUAUUGAGUCAGGUUUCUUGGGGGGGAAGUGACAUUUAAAUUGUUUUCUUCUUUUUUUUUUUUAAAUAGAGUCUCACUCUGUUGCCCAGGCUAGAGGGCAGUGGCAUCAGCCUAGCUGAUGGCAACCUCAAACUUCUGGGUUCAAGUGAUCCUCCAGCCUCAGUCUCCAGAGUAGCUAGGACUAUAGGUGCCCACCAUAAUACUCUAAAUAUUUUUUCUAUUUUUCUAUUUCUUGUUUAUUUAUUUUUUGAGACAGAGUCUCACUAUGUCACUCUUGGUAGAGUGCUAUGGUGUCACAGCUCACAGCAACCUCUAACUCUUGGGCUUAAAUGAUCCUCUUGCCUUAGUCUCCAAAGUAGCUGGGACUCCAGGUGCCUGACACAAUGCCCGGCUAUUUUUUUGUUGCAGUUGUCAUUGUGUAGCUGGCCUGGGCCCGGUUCGAACCCGCCAGCCUUGGUGUAUGUGGCUAGCACCGUAACCACUGCUAAUGGGUGCUGGGCCUAUUUUUUCUAUUUUUAGCAGAGACAGGGUCUCACUCUUGCUCAGGCUGGUCUUGAACUCCUGAACUCAGGGAUCUUCUGAUCUUGGCCUCCCAGAGUGCUAGGAUUACAGGCAUGAGUCACUGCACCCAGAUUUAAACUGAGAUCUUAACAAAAGGAGACAGUCCUAAUACAGAUUUAGGGAAAAGGCCUUCCAGGCAAAGGUGACCACUGGUACAAAAGCUCUGAGACCUCGCCAGCCUUCUGCUUAAUGAGUCACACCUGAUCCAUCAGGUGCCCCAUCUCUCAGGCCACUGUUUACAGUGAUUGAGCCAAGAGGUGGACCAAUCAGAGACCUCCAGCGACUUGCUAUGUGAGUGAUGGGGAUAGAAAGGAUCUCUCUCUGGGAUUAUAAAUCUUAAGGACCAUUUAAGCCUAGUGUAAUUGGCAAUGGUAUUGCUGCCAAGUGGCAAAAGCCCUUUUGAGAAUAAAGCCAAGCUGUGGCAAACAAGAAACGAGAGCUAGAAAGGGACAGAGUCCUCCAUGAGAGCCUUUGAACCUCAAUCCAAUCAUCCCUGUCCUUAUGAGAACCAGUCAUUUCCUUUUUUGCUACUGAACUGGGUCUCUGUUACUAGCAACAAAGGGCACCAGAACAAUACAGUUGGUUUGCUGCAAGUUACAGGUCCUAAUCUGUGGAGCUGGUGAGUCCACAGGAAGCAUGGAACAGGUGAGGAUUCCCCCUUGCCUAUUGGGAAACUGGCAAUCUUUGCUCUCAGUAAUAACAUGACUGCUGUUAUUUAGGGACUCACAACCACUGAGAUUGUAGUUUUAGGGAUCUUAGUAAAACAAAAAGGGAGGGUAGUGGAAUGAGUGGGCUAUUUACUGUGGCCUUCAGUAAGGUCCUACAAGAAAUGGACAAAUUGCAGUCCUAGCUGGCACAUCUAAGAGGGAGCCAAGAGGAUCAAGUCUCACUAAUAGAGAACCGUAAUGCUCACUAACUGGCAGUGAUGCCUGGAAGUCUGAUAAUAAUAUGCUGAGUUCCAGAUUGCGAAUGCUGAAUUCUCUGUUGAGGGAUAAAAUUACUACUAGCAAAGGAAAGUCACAUAGCAGGACACUGGGGACUACAGCAGAGCCAGAUCCCACAGCACCACCCAAAUCCUUCCCGCUAAGUCCUACAGCUAGGCCAUCACUGUUUCUGUAGACAAAACAUUUGUGAGCUGGCACCCCAGGUGUUAAGUCCUGAGUUGAGAGGGCAACACUCACAUAGACCAUGAUGCCUGAAGGCAACUGGACCCCUUGGUCCUGGAGCUAAUUAGAUGGUCCCCAACUUAUAAUAACUUGAUUUCUGAUUUUUUGACUUUAUGACAGUACAAAACUGAUAAGCAUUCAGUAGAAACCAUGCUUUGAAUUUUGAUUCAAAAUUCUUAAUAACUUUAUUACAAAAUAGGCUUUGCAUUAGAUGAUUUGGCUCAAUUAUAGGCUAAUGUUAAGUGUUGCUCGCAUGUUUCAGUAGGCUAGGCUAAACCAUGGUGUUUGGUGGUUAGGUGUUAUUACAUGCAUUUUUGACUUAAGAUAUUUUCUUUUCUUUUUCUUUUUUGUAGAGACAGUCUCAUUCUAUCGCCCUGGGUAGAGCGCUGUGGCAUCACAGCUCACAGCAACCUCCAACUCCUGGGCUUAGGCGAUUCUCUUGCCUCAGCCUCCAGAGUGGCUGGGACUACAGGCGCCCACCACAACGCCCAGCUAUUUUUUGUUGCAGUUUGGCUGGGACCAGGUUUGAACCCACCACCCUCAGUAUAUGGCUGGCACCCUACUCACUGAGCCACAGGUGCUGCCUGACUUAUAUUUUCAAACUUUCAAACUAUGAUGAGUUUAUUGGGAUGUAACCCCAUCAUGUAAGUUGAGGAGGGAUCUAUAUUAACAUUGUUAGACCCGGGCGGCGCCUGUGGCUCAGUGAGCAGAGCGCUGGCCCCAUAUACCGAGGGUGGAGGGUUCAAACCCGGCCCCGGCCAAACUGCAACAACAACAACAACAAAAAUAGCCGGGCGUUGUGGCAGGCGCCUGUAGUCCCAGCUACUCGGGAGGCUGAGCCAGGAGAAUCGCCUAAGCCCAGGAGUUGGAGGUUGCUGUGAGCUGUGUGACGCCACGGCACUCUACCGAGGGCAAUAAAGUGAAACUCUGUCUCUACAAAAAAACAAAACAAAACCAUUGUUAGACCCAUAUGUUUGCCACAGGGUAUUGGGAGGGGGUUAAGGGCCGAGGCCUUGGAGUAGAACUAUAUAGGUUCAAAUCCCAGCUCUGCUGUUUUCUGUGUGGUUGAAGUUCUAACUCAGUUCUGCCACAAACUUGCUGAGUGGCCUUAAGUGAGUCACAUAAGUUCUCUUGAUACAACUUCCUCAUUGCAAAGCACACUCAACUGAAUUUAGUAUUCUCCCUCCACCCUGACCCUGCUUCUCUUCCUCUAUCUAGACUUUUCCAUCUCAAUAAAUGGCCCACUCACCACCAGGUCAAACCAAGUUCAUCCUUCACAUCUAAAUCUACCUCUUAAACACAUCUUAAAUCCAUUUUUCUCUCCAUCCCCUAUUGUCACCAUUCCAGUCCAGGCCAUCAAAGCUUUUCAUCUGUGUUGUCUCACAGUUCUUUCAAAAUGCUUUUAUACAGUAUAAAUUAGGUCGAGUCUUCCCCCUGCUUAAAAUCCUUUAACUGGCUUAGAAUAAAGUCUUCAAAGGCUAAUGUUCCCUCUGAGCACUGCACAGUUUGCCCCCGUCUCUCUCUCUCUUAACUCAGUUCAGGCCUCCUCUUCUCCCAUCCUCUGGGACUCGACAGGCUCACUCCUUCUAGCCCCAGGACCUUCGCACAACUAUUCCCUCUCCCUGGAAUGUCCUUCCUCAAGUAUGUCUUAGCUUAGUUUGACUGCUUAUCCUUCAGGUCUAGCUUAAAUGUUAGUCCCUUCAGGGAAGCAUUUUCUGAUGCCUCAAAUCAGGUCAGGUUGGGGUGGCCUCCUUCACAGGACCUGCCACCUCAUCAUUGGUGUAUGUCUGUCUUCUGGAUCUCAGGGAGACUUGUCCUCAUUCUGCUCAUUGUUUACCAUGUGUUUCCUGAGGAUCUGGAUACACAGUCUUGUUUUCUUCUCUUUAUACCUGAAGGACAGUGUCUCUCAUCUCUCUGUGGUUAUAAUAGAGCCAGGCUCCUCUGCAUUUGCUUGGCAGUGAGUCUGGGAUGGUCUUAAAGAACCUUCUCUUCCACACUUUUUUUUUUUAGAUAAGUCUCACUUUGUCACCCUUGGUAGAGUGCCAUGGUGUUAUAGCUCACAGCAACCUCAAACUACUGGGCUCAAGCCAUUCUCUUGCCUCAGCCUCCCAGGCAGCUGGGACUACAGGUGCCUGCCACAACACCUGGCUAUUUUUAGAGAUGGAAUUUCACUUUUGCUCAGGCUAGUCUUGAACCUGUGAGCUCAGACUAUCCACCUGCCUUGGCCUCCCAGUUUUUUUUUGAGACAGAGUCUCUGUUGCCCUGUAUAGAGUGCCAUGGCAUCAUCAUAGCUCACAGCAACUUCAAACUCUUAAGCUCACGUGAUCCCCUUGCCUCCGCCUUCCAAGUAGCUGGGACUACAGGCACCUGCCAUGAUGCCCAGCUAGUUUUUCCAUGUUUAGUAAAGAAGAGGUCUUGAUCUUGCUCAAGCUGGUCUUGAACUCCUGAGCUCAAGUGAUCCCUGUCUCAGCCUCCCAGAGUGUUAGGAUUACAGGUGUGAGCCACUGUGCCUGGCCCACACUAAUCAUUUUAAUCAGAAAUGAGCUCAGGGACCAGAAGACAGGAGGCCCAGAAGCUAAGACAGCUGAAGUUUCUAGUCUGGUCUACCUUGGCCCCUUAGUGGCUUGUCUUCAGGCCCCUGGGUGGUAGAUUCAAACACAGGCUUCCUGAAAAGGAAAACUUUGGGACACUUCAAGCCCUGAUUUUGGCUGUCCACCUUCUAGAAGGCAGCGUUCAGGUCUUAAUUUAAAAUUUUUCUUUUCUUUUUAGAUUUGCCCCAAAAUCAGGUCAUAAGGUGAAUCAGCUGCAGCUUUGGGGAAGACUCUCAGCAAGAGAAAUUGGUCUGACUGCAGCUUAUAAUUCUACAUUUCAAAAUGGUUGUAUGUUUUCGCUCAAGAGUAGGGAUUCCCUGUCACCCUGCAAACGAGCAGGUCGAUUUGCAAACUGGCUCCUUUUUAUCUGGUCUUGACUUUUGCUAGGGGGAAACAUUAUGUCAUAUCAGUAUCAUAAAAAGCUGCUCGAGCUAGAAACCCGUGAAGGCAUCCUUGAUUCCUGUUGUUCCUUAACCCUCCACCUCCCCUGGAUUUAGAGUAUUGCAAAAUCUGCUGAGUCUGUCUUCAAAACAUAUCCUGAAUAUAUCCACAUCUUCCCACUUCUACUACCCUGGUCUUUCUCACUCUUUUGAGAGAAGAAUCUUGCUCUGUUACUCAGGCUGGACUCCAAUGACACAAUUGCAGCUCACUGUAGCCUUGAACUCCUGGGCUCAAGCCAUCCUCCCACCUUGGCCUUUUAAGUAGCUGGGACUACAGGUGUACACCACCACACCUUACUACCCUGGUUUCUUUCUCUAUUGCUGCUCCAUUUCUCACAUACUAGCAGAAUAUGGGAACUUGGAUUCUUUGAAAGGCUUUCCAGCAAAUGCAGACUAGGUAAUGACGAGGUGCGGGAUCUGGCCGAGACCUAUCUUUUCAACCUCCAGGCAACUCUUCUCUUCCUUACUCUGCCAAGCUUCUCCCACCAGUCUUGUGUCAUGUGGCUCUUACCUCUGGUGCACUGCCCUCUGCUCUUUGUAAGGAUCUUUCCUUGGGGAGGGCUUCCCUACCAUCCUCCCAGGACAGGCCACUCCCAUAUUAUUCUCUUAGGCCCUUUUUUUCCUUCAAAGCACUUAGUUCAAUUUGUAACUGCUUUAUUUGUUUUUCUUAUCUGUCUCCCCCAUUCUCUUUGGAUAAACUCCAUGAGGAGAGAAGCUGAGGCCUGGCCUGCUGUAUUCCCAGUGCCCAGCACUGUGCCUGAGCACAGAGUGGAGAUUCUUAAAAAAUAUCUCGAGUAAAAUGUGUUUUUGGUGGUGGCAUGUCCAGGUGCCAGAAACUCCCUCUUUCCUUCUGGAUUUUGAUCCUCAGGCAGUGUUUCUACUCAUUAAUGAGUAAUUCUUCUCCAGAUAUAUGACUCAGAGUAGAACAGGAGACUUCACUGGCCUGGCAACCACUGGCUUGUGUGGGAAAUGUUGAGUGGAAUCAGCAAAUUUCAACUCUAACCUGAAAAUAUCAAUUUAGGCCUCAGUGCCAGCACCCAGCUCAGCUGCCAUAGACUUUCCAAAGCUUUUAAGACCUAAGAUCCAAUUGCUCUCCUCUUCCCCUAGUGCUCCAAGCCCCUCUCCCAGCUAGGCACCACCAAGCCUGUGCCUUAGACUGUGGGUUGCUUGCAAGCUGAAGCCAUACCAGAGGAAAGAGCUAGGAUUGGCAAAGGUGAGCC